GUAGCUGGAAAGAAUCAGGAAAGAAAAACUAGAGUUAAAACACUAGAUAUUAAUACAAGUUUGCACCCGAGUUUGGUAGUACUUAGUUUUUGGAAAAUAACCUAAAAAAUUUACAACUAUCACUAGCCAAGAAAGAAGUCCAUAAUUACAGACUUUAUCAGUGAAAUCCAUUGUUUAAAUAGAAAAUCUCUGUUAUACUGAUUAUCUUCAGGUUUUUGUACUUGAUCUACCAGUAUCUCAGCAACUCAAAAGAUUAUUACACCAAAAUAAAAUACAUUUUAAAAAAAAAAGUCUUAUUCACAAAGUUGAGUAUUAUAUGCAAGAAAGGUCAGAACCAGGUGUAGUAUCAAUCCUGCAGGGUCCUCUCUGUCCUCACAAACACUUUCUGUCCUUGACGGUCACUACACACAUUGCAGCUUUGGAAAGUCUCUCAACACAACAGUGUCAGCCCCCACACUCUAUCACCAUUUUUAUUUGUUGUUGCAAAACAUAAAGGCAGAGAUAUAGACAAGUGCACCCACAAAUCCUGACCAAGAGCUGCUAAGAUAGGCAAAAAUGAACAUUCUCUGCAAGAUUUCAGUGUGUUUUGGUUUAGGCCAAAAGAACUUGUCUUUCAGGAGAAAAGUUGUCAAUAGCGGGAGGUGCUACAUCUUUUUAAUUUAGUGGGCUUCAAUAUUUCUGCAGAACUGAGACUAUAAGAAAGUAAGUUUAAAAGAGAGUUUAUUGAAGAAAAUGCCUGCAAUGUUAUGGCUUCCUAUGCAUAUCAACCACUGCAUAUCAACCAUUGUGUGAGUGAGCCAAUGUACGGGACAUUUCUACUCACACCAGGAAAAGGUCAAAGUUCAAAUCAUCUCUCCAAAAUAUGACUUUCUCUUAAUGAAGGACACCAGUUUAGUGAUGAGGACUUGUGUGCUGCUGCAGCAAGGCUUGCUGAAAUGAACUUACAUGUGGUUGAAGAGACUGAGUAUCACCCCAAAAAUCAUGUGCACAAUCCCUAUGACAACUGACAUCUUCAUUUUGUAGGAGUUCAGGAAAGUCAGCUUGUUCGAUGCAACAUUCCAGAUCUUUGGGUAAAGGAACAGGGAGAGAGAGAGAAGAACAAGACUUUCAGGUGUUUGAUCAAUAAAAGGGUUGCUUCUCCUUUCUUCUCAAACUUCCUAGACCCCAAAGUCUUCUGUCCUCAGAGACAGAAAUUGUAAUCCAGAAAGAGAACGAGGCUUGCUGAAAACUCGAAGACCACUGGCAGCAGCAAGUCCGAUCCUGUGCAAUGGCUUUGGCAGAACUCCCUGUUUGUCUGAGCUUCAGGAUCAGAAAUCAGUGGCUGAGAGCUGGGAGUCUUCCCUCAUGUCCACGGCUGCUUCAUAGAAAGAUGCCCACCUCAGGAGGGAUGAAUUUCCCUCUGGAUGGGCAUUGCCCUCCACUGCUCAUGGAAGGGCCCUAUUUGCAAUGCAGGAAUUGCUAACAGACCCAGGGCUCUGUCACUUCUUGGGACUGAAGUCAGUCAUGCCUGCUGGAUGAAAGAUCUACCUGCUUUUAUUCUGAUUAAAGGCAGGAUGUAAGGAAAGACCUACCCUGAGUGCAGAUGUCAGGGAAGAGCAAUUGCUCAGCCUCUCCCUGCAGGCUCUUGGCUGGCCUUGCCCGGCUGAGGAGCUACACCUGAAAUGGGUUUGGUGACAGCAGACAGAUCCUCUCAUCAAAUCUGAUUUACACUGCAACAAAGCUCAUUGGUCAUCAGUGUUAUGAAAGAGUAACAAAAUAUUCAACCUGAAUUAUCUUUUCAAGAUGCUUAACAGGGUGGAAACAAGUCAGGUUGUAUGAAGCUUUCAUUUCUCUCCUGGGCUCUGUCUCUGAUUACACAGAUAUUGCUCAAAGGCCUUAGGAAAAGGUUGAAUAAACUACAGCAUCAUCUUUCUAUGAAGAAAUGCAGGAAGGCUUGAGAGCAAGUUGAGUAUUACCAAGUGUUUCCAGUCCUCAAGUUAGGGCCUCUGAUUUUCAGGGGAAGAGUGCUGAGUAUUUUUUAAACAGUCCCCUUUUAGAUAUCCCAAGCAAAAAACCUAGCAGCCAAAGCUCCCAAGAGCUGUAUGCCACUUUGGAAAAUGUAGGAUCUUGAGUUCCAAGUGCUAAGGUGAUGGAUGUCUUUCAUGAUUAGGAGCAGCAGAGCUGAGGAGGGAAGGGAGGUUGGUUGCAGAGCUGACAGCUGGAGAUCUGAUAUCUAGCUCCAAAUUCAGCCAGCCCAGACUGCCAGUAACCCCUCUAGGGGAGUCAUUGUGGCUUGCCCACAGGCCUGCCUUACCCAUCACAAAUCUUCUUGAUUUUUUGUUUAAGUUGCUCUCCUUGAUAGAAGAUAAUGAACACGUUCUUCUUCACCUCUUCUCUCUGCAACACAGAAUUCAAGCAGUAUUUAACACAUUCAGAGUCCAGUGCAGAAAAGUUGGUAUCUUUUUUUUUUGCAGCCUCUCCUAGUUGUUUUAUCCCCCAUCCCCAGUUUCCCAUCAGCAGUGUUUUCCCCAGAGCUCUUUCAGGAAACCAAAAUGGGCAGUAGCUCUGGGUUAUGAGUGAGGAGCAAUGUGGAGCAGAGGGGACAGAGUUCCACUGGGGCACAGGGUUCACCCCAGAGACACCAAGGGGAACUGACCCUCCAUGGCUAAAUCCAGGUGGAGACAGCCACAGUGCACUUCCAUGGUGGUCCCUGUAACACAGCUGCCCUGUGAGGCCUCGUGUGCAUCUUGACAGGCAGGAAAAGGAAACCACCUCAACAGCAGCAAAAGGGGAAAGCAAUGAGAGAACUUCUCCCAACUUCUCCCAUGUUCAACCUGUCCCUCCUUUGCCCUACAGGAUGCCCUCAGACACACUGAGAGUGGCAGCCAGUGCUGCAGCACAGUCCAGGUUCCCAGUUUUGUGUAAGCAUCCCCACAGGGCAGAGGAAAGCACAGCCAGGUUGGUACCUACUGUCACAGGGUCCUCCAUGGGGGUGUCCAUUUCUGUGUACCUCAGGUAAAUGUUUCCCCUGCAGGCUCGCCACAGUAAACGCUCAAAGGGGAUCAUCCUUUCCCUCUUUAUUACCCCUGCUGUGAAUCUGAGCAGAGUUAAAGAGAAAUUAGUUACAAGCCCAUUCCUUGCCUUUUAGAACCUGCAGCACACAUGAUGUCACAAGCCCUUGUUUUCUAGUCUGUGCUAGCCAGGGCUCUGCUGCUGCUGCAGGCACUUCUAGGAAAACCUUCCCUGCUCAAGCCUGGCUUUUAUCUCAAUCUACUGACUUUAUUCUAUGGUUCUUUCUUAAAAAAAAACAACCCAACAAAACAACAAACUUUCCUAGAUCACCUAGGUGAAGGUGAAGAGAAAAUUCUAGCUAGAAAUGGAAGAAUGAAGACAUGCCUAAAGUCCCAAAAAUGAGAGUGUCUGAAUGGCAGAGGCAGAAGGUAGAAAUUUUGAAGUGUUGGUUUAUCUUUACUCUCCUGUGUUCCUUUUCUGAGAAAGCAUCAGACUGCAGCCCAGGGCAAUAGCAUGCUUUUUCUGUGGUUAGACAUCCAUCCAUGAGGACCAGAUGCCUGAGUCCAGAAGUCAUGGGUGAGGUGCCUUAAGAUAGUAAUUUUCAGACAAUACCUACUAAGGGAUCACUGGAAUUGGUGGCCUGGAAGCAGAAGUCCAUUUGUCCCACUGACCCAUAACCUGACCAUAGAUUUGAUGAUAGUUUCUGAGGACAGUCACUCUCUUAUCUUCAUGAAACAGCUGUGCAGAAGAGGUGGUGAGCACCCUCUGCUAAGAAGCUGAAGGAAGCUGUGCCAGUGUCACAGCAAAGCAGCACAGGUGGGAAGUCUGGCCAAGCUGGAGACCAUCACCAAUACACACCCCAGCUUGGCAGCUGCAGCAGCAGGAGUGCUUCUCAGCUCCAGCAGUCCAGAUGUGUCUUCACUAAAGAAAUCAUCUGGCAGAUUGGUUUCUGCCUGGAAAACAUUAGUUUUAUAAAACACUCUUCAGCAUUGCCAGUUUGAAAACUCUUUUCACAUUUUUUUCUUAAAACUUUUCCCCCAAAGGUAGCUUUCCAUGGAAAUUUCCAUGGAGAUAAGAUCGAAGGAAAACCAAUAAAAGUAAGCCAUAUCUUAGCAAUGGAAAAGCAUAAAUGCUAUUUUCAAAGAGAUCUGUGAGCUUUUUGAGCCCCACUGACUCACAGAGCAAUGCAGGCUCCAAAGUGACUGAGGUGUUUUUACAAACCUCAUCAUGGCUUGUGGUAAAGACCUCUAGAAGCAAUAUACACCAAAUGAAAGUGCGAGUAUUUUUAAGAACUUUCCACAUCUCUGUUGGAAGAGCAAAGAGGCCUCUCACCUCGAAGAAAUCCUGGGUUUUCUUCAGCAGAUGUUUGAGCUCUGUUAGCUCAAGGAAGUUCUGCUUCAAUGUUUGCUGGUUCUGGUUGGCUUCCAGCAGCUCAGCUUCAAGUUUCUCCAGCACUGUCUGUUUAGGGUCCAAACACAUCCAGAAAAACUCUGAAGCAGAUCAGUGGCUCUUUCCCAAGCUGAUACCAAAUCUCAAACAACAAUUGUGAUUUUUUUUUUAAAGGGAUAAUAAAGAAUUAUUCAACAAACAGUUUGAUAAACACUUUGUAGGAGGAUAUUCAUCAAUGCCAGUGCAUCACUUCUCCAUUGCAAACAUUCCCUGAUGGAUGUGUUGUCCUCUUCUGGCAUUGGAGUCCUGAUGUCCCUGACCCAAGCACAGGCAGGUAGGUGUGUGUGUGUGGUGUAGGUGUCUCAGCCUGGCUGGGUAUCUCUGUGGUUCCUCACAGACAUCUCACACCCCAGACUGACUGGCUGUCAUUUUACUGACUACAAAGCAACCUAUAUUAGUUUAGGUUCAUUAGCUAUAGGCCAAAAAUUAGGUGAUGACUUGGGGCCGGGAAUACACCAGGAAACCAAAUUACUUGUGAAGCUGAAGCCCUUGGAAAGCUUGAUUUUCCUUUCUAGUCACCUUCAUAUGCAGCAUUUUAAAAUUACCCUGUCAGUAAACUCUGCUACCAUCUGGGCUGGAAUAAAGCAUUCCUUGCAUAUCCAAAAGCAAGGCCCAGGUAUUUGUGUCAGGCCCCAGUAUCAUAAAAAACACUCCCAGCAGGAUAGGCAGUCCUGGGAUUUUUAUGCAGUGAACUAGGUUCUAACAUCAGGUCUCUUGGUAAAACACCAAACCCUUCUUAUUCUCUCCUAUAAGAUGAUGAGGCAUUCUGUGAAAGUAAUACUUUUUCAUUAAUAUGGGGACCAGAGGAAUGUUUCACAGGGCAUGGUAAAAAGACUGGGCUCCUUCAGGAAUAUGCAGCAGGACCAGCCUCAACCUAAGUGCUGAGGCAGCAAUGUGGGGAGCACCUCCUUGGGCAGGGAGAGUUGUGCCAGCCUCAGGCACCAGACCCUUCCUUGCAGGGAGGGUUCCACUGAGCACAUUACAGAGAUAACCUGGUGCACAACCCUUCCCUCUCCUGGGCACACCCCAGAUUCUGUACCUCCAUAUCAAUCAUUUCCCGAGGCAGGGGUGUCUCUGGGUACUUUUCUCCUUUGACAAUUUCAACAUUAUCUUCCAUUUCAUUUUCCAGAAAACCUGCAAGGAAAGGGCACAGAACUCUCAACACAGGAUCAUCCCUGGUGCAUCAUGCUGGUCACCAGCUUGUUGCUCAGCCAGGACCAAGGCAUCCUGUGGAGAUGUGACAAGAUUAAUUGAUACAUGAGUGCCAUCAUCCCAGUGCAUACACACAGCCACCAAGGAAUUAACACCCCCAGCCUCCUUCCUCAGUGGAGGUGUUGUUUUUUCUGAAGUCAUGGUCCCCAUUCCCACGUGGGCAGCCCCAGCCCUGGCACAAAGGGCCACCAUGGCCCCCUUUGUUUGGGGCAGUGAGUAAGGCACACAGAAAGCUCAGGUUCCACUGCUUGGCCAACAAUGCCAGGUGCUGCCACCAUGGGUACAGUGGGCACCAGUGUUGUGGUGGGGAGAGUGCAGAGCUCCCAGGACACACAUCCACAGGACAGUUGGAAUCACAAGCUCUGCUGCUUGUGUUUUAAGGACUAACCCCAAGGCUGAAACCCUUGGCCAGAAGAAGUGUGUGCCAACACCUGGUGCACUGGUGUAUGAGUCAGGUUAUCUGGACCAGCCUCCUGCCCAGACCCAGAUUUAUCUUGUGAUUUUAUAAAAGCUAAUUAGCAGUUUUCAGUUCAGCUAACUAUUUUCAAAACAAGGGCAACAAUUUAUUGCCCAUAUGGGGUGAAGUGGUAAUUAGCUGGUGCAUGGAAAACAUUUCCAGGGCUCAGAUGAAAACAUCACCAUUUUGCCACUAAUUCUGCUCCCCAGUGUGAGAGCACUUAAAGAAAUAAAUCCCACACCACCAGUUGGCAGGAAGCCGAUUGCAUUUGACAAGCGUUUACUUACGCAGGAUUCUCUCCAAGGAUUCGCACCUUCUCACUUCAUUCACAAACUUUCUCUGGAAGCUGUUGACAUUCACAUUCAGCUAAAAACAGGAGGGAAAACAAGCCUGGGGCUGAAGGCAGCACAGUGCUGUGCUCAUUUUUUAACACUAGCAGAGAACAAGUGCCUUUUGGCAAACACCACUGGGUCUGAGAGGGUCCUACUGGCAGGGCAAUACCGUGGGAUUCCUCAUGGGCCAGGACCUGGUGGCCUUCCCCACAACCUUGCUGUGACAGCAGGAGUCACAGAGGGGCCCUCAUGGAGACACUUCCCGUGUCCUGAUGAUGCAAAGGGUUGCUCUAAGGUUGUGCAGAGGGCUCGCAGAGCACUGGGUGGGGUCUCAGGAAUGGGUGGGGUCUUGGCACGAUGUUUGGGUUUCAGAUCAGCCUUGGGGAAAUCCUGCUCUCACCAUGGACUUUUUGGCCUUCCAAAAAGAUGCACCUCCUACAGGUGCAUCUUUCCCAAGUGCUUUGAGAGAAGGACAAGCACACUCUGGGGCACCUCUCCAACAGCUCAGCAUGCCAGCCAGGCACUACUCACGUCUCUGAACUGGACCAGCCCCAGCUCCCCGAGCUCAGCCACGCAGCAGUAGGCAGCCUCCACCUGCAGGAAGAGCUGCCUCAGGCUCAUCUCCUCACUCCGGAAGAUGGAGGCC